rnacentral:rRNA from 1 species
CCUACGGGAGGCAGCAGUGGGGAAUAUUGGGCAAUGGGCGCAAGCCUGACCCAGCAACGCCGCGUGAAGGAAGAAGGCUUUCGGGUUGUAAACUUCUUUUGACAGGGAAGAGUAGAAGACGGUACCUGUCGAAUAAGCCACGGCUAACUACGUGCCAGCAGCCGCGGUAAUACGUAGGUGGCAAGCGUUGUCCGGAUUUACUGGGUGUAAAGGGCGUGUAGCCGGGUUGACAAGUCAGAUGUGAAAUCCUGCGGCUUAACCGCAGAACUGCAUUUGAAACUGUUGGUCUUGAGUACUGGAGAGGCAGACGGAAUUCCUGGUGUAGCGGUGAAAUGCGUAGAUAUUAGGAAGAACACCGAUGGCGAAGGCAGUCUGCUGGACAGCAACUGACGGUGAGGCGCGAAAGCGUGGGGAGCAAACAGGAUUAGAUACCCGAGUAGUC